UCCAAUCCUACUUCAUGAGCUUGAGACUGCUGGCAUGCGGGGUACUUACCUCGAGCUGUUUUCAAUUUCUUUCAUCUUGCUCCGAUUAGUGGCCAAUCUAGAUAUUGACAUCGGCCAAACAGCUGACGGUCAAGUAUGGCCGCGAUACCGUCCCAUCGAGUCACAUCAAAUCACAUCAUCCUAAGAUCAUACCCUAAACGGUCUGCCGCGUGCCAUGAUAGGACACCACAAAGUCAUUAAUUAUGCCACAUGCACGCGAUAAGGCUCGCCGUCGCGACCACCGAUGCACCGGACAAAAGGCACGUCUGCUGAUGGGGCCAUUUAAAGAUGCCCCUAUGCAGCUCCGUAUUGGACAUUAUCGGAAUACUCUCCCAUCCUUUCAUCCUUUCAUCCUUUCAUCCUGCUUUCUCUAUAAAUGGAGAUAAGAGAAGACCACUAGAAGGUACACACACUCAAAUACUCAGAAUCCGAAACUCUGCCUCACUCACUCCACUUCUUGAGCUAAAAAUUGAUUUAAGUAUCAGAGGGUCAUCG
rnacentral:lncRNA from 1 species